rnacentral:rRNA from 1 species
AACGAACGCUGGCGGCAGGCUUAACACAUGCAAGUCGAACGCCCCGCUCGGGGCGCGGCGGGCGGGUGAGUAACGCGUGGGAAAGUAUCCUUUUGUUCGGGGCAAAUCCGGGAAACUGGGGCUCAUAUAGGGUAAGACCUCACCGGGCCAGAUUUAUCGCCGUUGGAUAGGGCCGCGUCUGAUAAGCUAGUUGGUAGGGUAAAAGCCUACCAAGGCGACGAUCCCUAGCUGGGCUGAGAGGAUGAUCAGCGACACUGGGAAUGAGACACGGCCCAGACUCCUACGGGAGGCAGCAGUGGGGAAUAUUGGACAAUGGGCGAAAGCCUGAUCCAGCAAUGCCGCGUGAGUGAUGAAGGCCUUAGGGUUGUAAAGCUCUUUUACCCGGGAUGAUAAUGACAGUACCGGGAGAAUAAGCUCCGGCUAACUCCGUG